AAUCAACAACAUUAUUUAGAUGACACUCUAGAGAUGAACUCUGCUCCAGGCUUAGUGAUUGUGGUACUCUUAAUGCUUCGACAAACCUAUGGAGACUCAGUGACCCAGAUGGAAGGCCAAGUGACUCUCUCAGAAGGGGAUUCCCUGACUAUAAACUGUACUUAUUCAGCCACAGGGUACCCUGCACUUUUCUGGUAUGUUCAAUAUCCUGGUGUUGGUCCACAGCUCCUCCUGAAAGCCGUGACAGCCAAGGAGAAGGGAAGCAACAAAGGUUUUGAAGCCACAUACAAUAAAGAAACCACCUCCUUCCACUUGGAGAAAGCCUCAGUCCAAGAAUCAGACUCCGCUGUGUACUACUGUGCCAUGAGUGACACAGUGACGGGAGCUGCAGGGGGAGCUGAGCACAAACUCAGAGCAGCAACAAGGGGCCUGGCUGCUGAGUGUCUCUGA